AAUCAAUCUAGCCCUAGCAUCAAUAAAAGCUAAGGCUAAGCAAACCGUUACUAAGUUAGACUUGGCCUCCUGCCAUGAUCUAGCUUCAAGUAACGGGACCCUGCAUUAAAACAAGUCAACAAGCAAUCCCUAGUUAACCAUAUAUACGCUUGAGUUCAAUACUCAUGUAGUGUUAGACACUUAGACUAUACAAGCAUCAUUAGUCGAUCGACCAACAAUCAAACAAGAACAUGAUCGGCCAACCAAUGAUACCGCAUAGCUUUAAUAUCCACCACCCUUCACAAGUAAUCCCUCAAACACAUACAUACCAACAUCAGGCCUACACUAACCAAAUACACACCAAGC
rnacentral:lncRNA from 1 species